CCCUCUGGGGUGCCGCCCCGGUCAAUGACGAUAUUUCUCUGCUGUACUUUACCUCCGGCACCACGGGCAUGCCGAAGAUGGUCCGGCAUGAUUUCGUCUAUCCCCUGGGGCACAUCCUGACCGCCAAAUUCUGGCAGAGCGUCAUGGAUGGCGGCAUACACCUGACCAUUGCCGAUACCGGAUGGGCCAAGGCGGUCUGGGGGAAGAUAUACGGCCAGUGGCUGAGCGGUGGCAUCGUCUUCGUAGAUGACUACGACAAAUUCUCGCCGCGCAACCUCCUGGAUGUCAUUGCCCGAUACGGCAUCAACACAUUCUGUGCGCCUCCCACCAUCUAUCGCUUUCUCAUCAAGGAGGACUUCUCUCCGUUCGACCUGUCGAAGCUCAAGUAUUGCGUGAUUGCGGGGGAGC
rnacentral:rRNA from 1 species